rnacentral:lncRNA from 1 species
AAUAAGGAAGAAAGACUUGUGGCCCUGACUAAGUCACCCAACAAUAGAAAUGGCUGAGAAAGAGUCAACAUCACCACACCUCAUGGUUCCCAUUCUUCUCCUGGUUGGAUGGAUUGUAGGCUGCAUCAUAGUUAUUUACCUUGUCUUCUUCUAGAAAAGGAAGAAGACUUCAAUCUGACACCAUUUAGAAGAAUAAAAAAACAGGAAUAUAACUCAUUAUUAAAGGUGUCUUGUAUUAAA